rnacentral:lncRNA from 1 species
ACCACUCCAUGUGCGUCCCUCCUGAAGCUGUGCGCUUGGUCGAACAGGACGACCACCUCCAAUAGAGGAGAAGCGGUCUUUGGUCCAGGGUAUAUGAGUAGCUGCACUCCCCUGCUAGAACCUCCAAACAAGCUCUCAAAUACACCUAUUUUUUGAAGGCCCUCAUCUUAUCACCCACUUCUUUUAUUGGAUUAAAUAUAUUAAACAUGCAAUAUCACGUAUUCUGAAGUCUUUAUGGGUCUGACUUUUCUGACUGUUGAUCUGCUAUCUUUUGGCUAAUUUUUGUAUUUUUAGUAGAGACGGGAUUUCAUCGUAUUGGCCAGGAUGGUCUCGAUCUCUUGACCUCAUGAUCCAUCUGCCCCAGCCUCCCAGUGUGCUGGGAUUACAGGGGUGAGCCACCACACCCGGCCUCUGUGGGAACUUUAAGGCCCAGCAAUUGAAGAUAUAUUGCUGCAAAGAGGAGCUCCAUUUACCUCUGCUUCCUGGGACAAUUAAAACAUAAAUUUUCCGCUUGAGGCUUUUCACACAGGGUAUGUAAAAGGCUGAAAAACCAUGCAACUACUUCCUUUUAUUUCCAAAAUCUUAGAGAUAUUUCCCCCUCUUCAGCCAUUGCCAAGGUCAAUACAGGCAAGCUGCCUGUUGCAGA